rnacentral:rRNA from 1 species
AUACGUAGGGAGCGAGCGUUGUCCGGAAUUACUGGGUGUAAAGGGUGCGUAGGCGGGGAUGCAAGUCAGAUGUGAAAUGUAUGGGCUCAACCCAUGAACUGCAUUUGAAACUGCAACUCUUGAGUGAGGUAGAGGUAAGCGGAAUUCCUAGUGUAGCGGUGAAAUGCGUAGAUAUUAGGAGGAACAUCGGUGGCGAAGGCGGCUUACUGGGACUUUACUGACGCUGAGGCACGAAAGCGUGGGGAGCAAACAGGAUUAGAUACCCUGGUAGUCCACGCUGUAAACGAUGAUGACUAGGUGUGGGGGGACUGAACCCUUCCGUGCCGCAGUUAACACAAUAAGUCAUCCACCUGGGGAGUACGGCCGCAAGGUUGAAACUCAAAUGAAUUGACGGGG